UUAUACAGUGAAACUGCGAAUGGCUCAUUAAAUCAGUUAUAGUUUAUUUGAUAGUACCUUUCUACUCGGAUAUCCGUGGUAAUUCUAGAGCUAAUACGUGCUAAAAACCCCGACUGUUUGGGAGGGGUGUAUUUAUUARAUAAAAAAUCAAUGCCCUCGGGCUCUUUGAUGAUUCAUAAUAACUUCUCGAAUCGCAUGGCUUCGUGCUGGCGAUGGUUCAUUCAAAUUUCUGCCCUAUCAACUUUCGAUGGUAGGAUAGUGGCCUACCAUGGUGG
rnacentral:rRNA from 1 species